rnacentral:rRNA from 1 species
UACGGAGGAUGCAAGCGUUAUCCGGAAUCAUUGGGCGUAAAGCGUCCGCAGGUGGUGAUGCAAGUCUAUUGUCAAAGAGCGAGGCUCAACCUCGAGAUGUCGGCGGAAACCAUCUGGCUAGAGUCCGGAAGAGGAGAAUGGAAUUCCCGGUGUAGCGGUGAAAUGCGCAGAUAUCGGGAAGAACACCCGUGGCGAAGGCGGUUCUCUGGGCCUGACCUGACGCUGAGGAGCGAAAGCGUGGGGAGCGAACAGG